rnacentral:lncRNA from 1 species
AUGCACCCAAAGGGGCUCUGCAGUAUUGUCUUGGUUUCAGGGCCACUUGCAGGAAGAAAAUCAGAUCCCUGCUGUGUGGGAGGGCUGAGACCUCUGCUCCCCAAACCAGGAUUUGCAGAGCCAAAAGGCAGAGCAGAGCUGCUGGGAGGACACAACACAGACGUGCCAGGAAGGAGAGUGUGCUUUGCCUGCGCUCAGCAGGAUUCAAGCAUGCCCAAGGUCUGUGUCAAAAUCAGCCUCUUGCAUGGUGAAAGCCAAGGGCCUGGUGCCUUGGCUCUCCAGACCAGGUCGAUGUUUAAUGAAUAUUUCCUAUUAGAAACAGCAGCUAAAUCUUCAGCCCAGAAUGGGUUGUGUGUCUGAGCAAACACCUGACAGCUCCAGCUGUAUCAGCUGCUCCAGGGCAGGCACUACCACUCCUUACCAAAUUUCUCUUGACCACAGCUUAGUAAGUAUGCAGCAAUUUGGCACGUCACAUUCAUCCCUUCCAGCCUUGCUCCUGUGCUAGCUGCAGGAGAAAAGCCACCAUGAAAUUCCCCCAGCUGCAGUUUGUUUCACCUGUUUAUUUGUUUGACAGGAGGGUGGGGGAUCACUUGAGCUCUGCAUUUCCCAGCUGAAGCAGGCAGCGUAGUGGUGAUGGUGGCUGUCAGCAUUUAAAAUGGUCAGCCAAGAGCAAAAGGUCUAUUUAGCUGGGCUGGGAGCUGAUAGUGAUUGAGGAGGUCUGUGGUUGGGGAGGAGGAGGAGAAAAAGGGGCAAAGAAGAUGAAGUAAUGAAGUUAGACAUAGUGGGUAUGGUCUCAUCAGUACUGGUUUCAGCUGCGCUCCCAUUUUCAUUCAAAACAAUUGGUUCCAAAGAAAGCUACUCCCAGGAGUGGAACCCUUCAAAGUGAAAGGCUUUAUCUUGGGUGAAUCACUGAGUCAUUAACAAAGGAAAUCAGCUUGAUCGCUUAUUUUUAAACCUGCUUUUCUCAGAUUCCUCUGAAAGUGGAAUUUCACAGCUCUCACGGUGCAGCCUCUGCUUACUGCCUGCAGCAACUAGCAGUUGUGGAGCAGCACUUCAAUCACCUUCCUGCGUGCAGACGUUCACAAAGGGCUGCAUUACCUUUCACAGCAAUAUAUGGGCUAUUUCUCACCAGCCGGGGCAUUAUUAAGUCCUUUCCAGCUCAAGGCUGGCACAUUUCCUUUCAAGGUUUCAAACCUGAGGAUUAAAAAUCAUGGAGAAAUUCUCCUUCACUUGCUGCUAGGACAAAACCCUUGGAUUUUUCAACCCCCAGGACCCAGAUUUAGCUCUGGCAUAACAGGGCAUGGCUACUAUUCCAGGCGCUCCAUCUGGAUGCAGGAUGCUAUCAGCUGUAGGGACUUCA